rnacentral:rRNA from 1 species
GUCGACGAAGACGUUUGGGUAGCAAUAUUCGAACGGACUGAGUGGCGAAAGGGGCAGUAAUGCGUGGGUAACCUACCUCGGGGAUGGGCAUAGCCGGACUAACGUCCGGGUAAUUCCCAGCGAUUUGGCGAGACGGCAUCGUUUUGCCAAGAAAUGGAUUCCGCCUGGAGAGGGGCUCACGUCGUAUUAGCUAGUUGGCGGGGUAACGGCCCACCAAGGCUAAGAUGCGUAGCGGGUGUGAGAGCACGACCCGCGCCACUGGCACUGAGACACUGGCCAGACACCUACGGGUGGCUGCAGUCGAGGAUCUUCGGCAAUGGGCGCAAGCCUGACCGAGCGACGCCGCGUGUGCGAUGAAGGCCUUCGGGUUGUAAAGCACUGUCGAGGGGGAUAAAACCGCAAGGUUGAUAGAUCCCUGGAGGAAGCACGGGCUAAGUUCGUGCCAGCAGCCGCGGUAAGACGAACCGUGCGAACGUUGUUCGGAAUCACUGGGCUUAAAGGGCGCGUAGGCGGUUUGCCAAGUCAGGGGUGAAAUCCUGCAGCUCAACUGUAGAAGUGCCUUUGAUACUGGCGAACUCGAGGGAGGUAGGGGUGGGUGGAACUUAUGGUGGAGCGGUGAAAUGCGUUGAUAUCAUAAGGAACGCCGGUGGCGAAAGCGACCCACUGGAUCUCUUCUGACGCUGAGGCGCGAAAGCUAGGG